rnacentral:rRNA from 1 species
AUGGUAAAAAAAUUGAGAAAGAGAGCUUUAUGUAUUUCCUUGAAUCAAAAUAGAACCAUUAAAGUAGUUGAAAGUUGGAUGAAUCGACUGGAACAGGCACCAGAGAGGCACACAGAGUUAGUACAAGUAAGAGUAUGCACUAAGAUCGGGAUAGAGUGCAUGGACUUGGACCCAAAGAAGAGACCAGUUACACAGCACAUAAUUGAUAGGCUUGAUAAAACAGCAAGUGCUGACUAUUCAGGCCAAAAUGGCAUUUGCAGUUCACUAGUCGAGCUGCAGCCAAGUUUACUCAAGGAACAGUCUGGGGAAAAUAUUGGAAAGCUUGCAGAUGAGAGCCUUAUAAAGGACAUCAAUGAACACCCAGAAACGGAAGAUCACUGCCAGCAGGGUCAAGAAAAUGCAGAUCAGUGGUCAUUACGGGAAGCACAAGAUACGGAGCAACAGGUUAACCGACCAGGAACAAGCAUUUUCGGCUCUAAAUCUAGCUUCUUGGAGAAGCUAAAAAACUUGAAUAUCUUUAGCAGGAAAGCACGCAGGAAUUUCGUGAGGAAUGGUGGCCCACACCUACAGAAUGUCAGGGGCCUAACGAUUUUCACAAAGGCAGAAAUAAAGAAAAUCACAAAAAACAAUUCAGAGUUUCUUGGUACCGGAAGAUUUUGCAAAGCCUACAAAGGAACUCUUCCUGACAAUACCAUGGUGGCAGUUAAAACCUUUAUCACGCUAAGCAAUAGUCUGAGGCGGGAGUUUGAGAUGAUAAUAGAAUUCCAUAAAGAACUGAUCCACAAGAACAUCCUCAAGCUCUAUGGUUGCUGCCCGGAGAUGGAUGUUCCAACGUUGGUAUUUGAAUUUGCUGCUAAUGGGAGCCUCGAGAGCAUUGUCCAUGGCAGUAAACAAAAACUGCCUUUAGACUUGCGUAUUGACAUCGCAAUUGGGUCUGCAGAAGGGUUAAGAUACAUGCACUCCUACGCAAAUUACCCCAUGCGACAUGGUGAUGUCAGACCGAACAACAUAUUUCUCGAUGACAAGUUGACACCAAAAAUUGGAAACUUUGGGCUUUCGAGGCUUUAUAGUUUACAAGAUGAGAUGAGGCUACAGGCCUCUGAAUCAAGUGAUACACGCAACCAAUUGAUGCUGCUUAAUAUGGGUUACAUGGACCGAAAGUUCAUGCAAGAUGGACAUGUAACACUAAAGAGCGAGGUCUACAGCUUUGGAGCUAUUCUCUUGGAACUAAUUACCAGGAGGAAGAACAUAUUUGAUGAAAACCGCAUCCUCGUUGAUGAGUACCGCAAAGUUUAUGAGAGAAAGAGUGGAAGAGCGAUGUUUGACAAGGAGAUUGCAACUGAAGACAAUAUCUUCGCCCUGGAGGAAAUUGGCAAGGUUGUAAUUGAGUGCCUGAAAGAAGACAGUAAGGAACGACCAGAUAUGACCGAGGUGACGGAACUACUUGUGAUGAUCAGGAGAGAGAGGAGGCUCGUUAAGGCACGCAAUAAGGUGAUUACUACUAGUGUUCCAUCUGUAUAG